rnacentral:rRNA from 1 species
CCUACGGGAGGCAGCAGUGAGGAAUAUUGGUCAAUGGACGAGAGUCUGAACCAGCCAAGUAGCGUGAAGGAUGACUGCCCUAUGGGUUGUAAACUUCUUUUAUAUGGGAAUAAAAUGUUCCACGUGUGGGAUUUUGUAUGUACCAUAUGAAUAAGGAUCGGCUAACUCCGUGCCAGCAGCCGCAGUAAUACGGAGGAUCCGAGCGUUAUCCGGAUUUAUUGGGUUUAAAGGGAGCGUAGGUGGAGUGUUAAGUCAGUUGUGAAAGUUUGCGGCUCAACCGUAAAAUUGCAGUUGAAACUGGCAGUCUUGAGUACAGUAGAGGUGGGCGGAAUUCGUGGUGUAGCGGUGAAAUGCUUAGAUAUCACGAAGAACUCCGAUUGCGAAGGCAGUUCACUGGACUGCAACUGACACUGAGGCUCGAAAGUGUGGGUAUCAAACAGGAUUAGAUACCCGGGUAGUC